CCUACGGGUGGCAGCAGUGAGGAAUAUUGGUCAAUGGGCGUAAGCCUGAACCAGCCAAGUCGCGUGAGGGAUGAAGGUUCUAUGGAUCGUAAACAUCUUUUAUAAGGGAAUAAAGUGUGGGACGUGUCCUAUUUUGUAUGUACCUUAUGAAUAAGGAUCGGCUAACUCCGUGCCAGCAGCCGCGGUAAUACGGAGGAUCCGAGCGUUAUCCGGAUUUAUUGGGUUUAAAGGGUGCGUAGGCGGCCUUUUAAGUCAGCGGUGAAAGUCUGUGGCUCAACCAUAGAAUUGCCGUUGAUACUGGGGGGCUUGAGUAUGGUUGAGGUAGGCGGAAUGCGUGGUGUAGCGGUGAAAUGCUUAGAUAUCACGCAGAACCCCGAUUGCGAAGGCAGCCUGCCAGGCCAUGACUGACGCUGAUGCACGAAAGCGUGGGGAUCAAACAGGAUUAGAUACCCCAGUAGUC
rnacentral:rRNA from 1 species